AGAGUUUGAUCAUGGCUCAGAACGAACGCUGGCGGCGUGGAUAAGACAUGCAAGUCGAGCGACGAUUACGAGGUAGCAAUAUUUCGUAGUUGGAGCGGCGCAAGGGUGCGUAACACGUGGGUAAUCUGCCAUGAAGUUUGGGAUAACUUGCUGAAAGGCGAGCUAAUACCGGAUGUGACAACUGGGAGGCAUCUUUUGGUUGUUAAAGUUGGGGACCGCAAGGCCUGACGCUUUAUGAUGAGCCCGCGGCCUAUCAGCUAGUUGGUGAGGUAACGGCUCACCAAGGCUAAGACGGGUAGCUGGUCUGAGAGGACGACCAGCCACACUGGAACUGAGACACGGUCCAGACACCUACGGGUGGCAGCAGUCGAGAAUUUUUCACAAUGGGCGCAAGCCUGAUGGAGCGACGCCGCGUGGGGGAUGAAUGGCUUCGGCCCGUAAACCCCUGUCAUUUGCGAUCAAACCUCGGUAUUUAAAAGAUGCCGAGCUGAUAGUAGCGAAAGAGGAAGGGACGGCUAACUCUGUGCCAGCAGCCGCGGUAAUACAGAGGUCCCGAGCGUUGUUCGGAUUCACUGGGCGUAAAGGGUGCGUAGGUGGUGGGAUAAGUCGGAUGUGAAAUCUCGGAGCUUAACUCCGAAACUGCAUUGGAAACUGUCCUGCUAGAGGGUUGGAGGGGGGACUGGAAUACUUGGUGUAGCAGUGAAAUGCGUAGAUAUCAAGUGGAACACCGGUGGCGAAGGCGAGUCCCUGGACAACACCUGACACUGAGGCACGAAAGCUAGGGGAGCAAACAGGAUUAGAUACCCUAGUAGUCC
rnacentral:rRNA from 1 species